GGCACAGAGAAGAUCAUGGCUUCGUUGAAGAUGGGGUUUGUGUCGUCCCUUUUGGUGGACGUCUUCUUCUUGCUGAUCUUCCUGCCGUCUUGCAGGAGAUAAACUUUGACGAACGGGUCUGACAAUGAGAAUGACUGAAGGUAGAGCCACGCGUUGAAAGGUCUGAUGGUCAGGUCCAGGUCUGACAGCUUGAGAUCUGCCACUCCUGCGCUGGUGUUCCUCUCUUCAGCGUCGAUGCCAAACGCGGAGAAUAGCAGGCUGUACUCCUCCAAAUUGGACGAUUCCAUGGGGAUGGAGAAGCGCUCUACAAAAAUCACGGUGAAUGCAUUGGUCUGGACCUGUGGGAGGCAAAGGGUUGAAGGUGACAUGUUGGAUUUUAAUUCAUAACAAUGACUGGACCGGGCCCUAAUAGGUAGCAAACACAUUAAGUAAACCCAGAGGAACCAAAUCCACAAGCACAAAAUGUUGUGUUGCUUUCGAGAUGAAUCAAACAAGUAUCGUAAAUUCAGCUACUGGAACUUUCCAACAUGGUCAAAUACCAUGACGGCAUGCUACCAUUUUUGAGUUACUUGAUUCUGAUGUUUUCAGGCUUUGUAAAUGUUAUUUCAUGUGUUAGGGUUAUAUCUCCCCCUCCUUGGAAUGAUCUUUGACCUAUGAGAUAGUAUCUGGCCUGCUAAGGAAGGGGAAAAAUUCGGCGGGUGACUUCAACCUAAGUUACUGAGAAACAUGUCCAAAUCUAGGCAUAGACCCUAUGUGCUACAUCAUUUUAUCUAUAGUUCUGUUUGCAACACCUCCUCUUUAAAUAGUCUUGCCUUGCAGAGGCGAAGCGGAUUUUCACCAUUUGGCUGUGUGAUGUCUCCGAGUCUCUAGAGCUCAUCCUGACCUGUGAAACUUCUGUGUAAUAAAUUCUGUUAUGCUGCAA